GUGCUCACUUGGGCAGCGCAUAUACUAAAAUUGGACCGAUACAGAGAUUAGUAUGGCCCCUGUGCAAGGACGACACGCGAAUUCAUGUAGCGUUCUAUAUUUUU